CCUACGGGAGGCAGCAGUAGGGAAUUUUCCACAAUGGACGAAAGUCUGAUGGAGCAACGCCGCGUGAGUGAAGAAGGGUUUCGGCUCGUAAAGAUCUGUUGGUAGUGAAGAAAGAUAGAGGUAGUAACUGGUCUUUAUUUGACGGUAAUUACUUAGAAAGUCACGGCUAACUCCGUGCCAGCAGCCGCGGUAAUACGGAGGUGGCAAGCGUUGUCCGGAUUUAUUGGGCGUAAAGCGAAUGCAGGCGGUUCAUUAAGUCUGAUGUGAAAGCCUUCGGCUCAACCGGGGAAUUGCAUCAGAGACUGGUGAACUUGAGGGCAGAAGGGGAGAGUAGAACUCCAUGUGUAGCGGUGGAAUGCGUAGAUAUGUGGAAGAACACCAGUGGCGAAGGCAGCUCUCUGGUCUGCUACUGACGCUGAGGCUCGAAAGCAUGGGUAGCGAACAGGAUUAGAUACCCCAGUAGUC
rnacentral:rRNA from 1 species